GCGCUCGCUUCGGCAGCACAUACACUAAAGUUGGGACGAUGCAGAGAUUAGCACAGCCCCUGCACAAGGAUGACAUGCAAAUUCGUCCACACUUUUUU
ensembl:snRNA U6 U6 spliceosomal RNA